UUUUGCCCAAGAAUUCAUCCAUUUUAGAGAGGCACAUAGAUAAAGAACAGAGAGCAGAACAAUACAGGGGCUAGAAAUUAGGGAAGAUCUGGAAUUCUUAGGAGGGGAGACGAUACAGAGCAUCGGCGUCUGGACGGAGACAACACCCAUUUUUGGAUUUUAAGAGCUCGGGUGAGGCGAUUUUCGGAAGAUUUUUCAAGAAAAACAUCGGGGUAAGUGUUCUUAACUCAAUUUUGGUCAAACUACCCGAAUCUAUAUUUUUUUUAACGUUUAAUUGGUGGAUUAAGUUGGAACAAUUGUGAAAAUCCCUAAGUUUAGAUUGAAAAUUUUAGGGUCGAAUUGAUGUCGAAAUUUAGUGAUUUUGGCAUGGCUGGACUUGUAGUAGAAUGUGCGUUCAUAUUUUAUAACUUUUGUCGGGUUCCGAGACGUGGGCUCCACGGGCGAUUUUUGAGUUAAAUUUUGGAUUUUGUUGAAAAAUUAGUAUUUUCAUAUGGAAUUAAAUUUUAAUAAUUUGUAUUGAUUAAAUCGAAUUGAUUGUGGCUAGAUACGAGGCUUUCAGAGGCCAAUUCACGAGGCAAAGGCAUAGCAAAGUAAAGAAUUACCGAUUCGAGGUAAGUGACUUGUCUGACCUUGUGUAGAGAAAAUUCCUCUUAGGAUUGGUAUUGAUAUGAAAAUGUUGAUGUGUUGAAAGCCGUGUACACGAGGUGACGAGUGUGUACAUGGGAUAAAUGUGAAAGAUUAUGUCUUUAAAUUGUGUAAAGCAUUGUUGCAUAUUAAUUAAAUUAUUUUAUUCGGUUAUAUUCAUCAUCAUUGAUCUAUUUUUAUAUUUUAAAUUUGUCUGAUAUUUUUCUUGCUAAUUGUUUUACCUGUUUAAUUGAAACUGUGUUUCUUUUAUUUUGUGCUCAAUAUUUGAAAGUUGAAUUUUUUAAUUUAAUUAUUAUUAAUUUGAAAGUUGAAUUUCUUAAUUUAAUUAUUAUUACUAUGAAGUAUUUGACAUUUUAAAAUUUGGUAUUGAGGCAAAGUGCUAAAAAUUAUGAAAUAUUAUUUUUGCUGAGUUAUUCAUUCCCGAAUAUUUUGUGGGAUUUUUAUACUCAUUGUGAUUGAGCCACAAGCUCCUUAUUGUGAAAAAUAUUAUUGUUGUUGAUUUAUUUUGGCAAGUCGAAAUAUUUGGGCAUUUGAGGUGUAAAUUGUGAUAUAUUUUGAUAUUGAUACGCAUGCGGUGGUAUAAGGUUUGGGUGUUGAAACGUGUGAGGUGAGAUAAGGGUGACUUGAUACGCGUGGCUAGUAGGGAAACUACUAGAAAUCAUGCGGUGUGAUAAUGAUGGCUAAAACGCGGGAUGCUAUUUCGGAAAAAAUAUUUUCUUUAAAAUUAAAUGUGAAGGCUCCCGCGGUGAUAUAAGGAAAAGAAUUAUUGUGAAUUUAUUUAUGAUUUGGGACUACGAGGCGGUACCUCGGGAGUGCCCUUGUUGAUAUUUCUCUAUGGCUGCACUUACUUUUAGUUAUUUUGUGUUUUCCUUAAAUAUGAAAAUUCUUGUUUUCCUUCCGUGAGGUAUUAUUUGCCCUUAUUCUGUGUAGUUAAAUUGUGACAUACUCCUUACUUAAUUCAUUCCCUUUGUCAUUAUUUUUAUUAUAUUGUUAAACUUUUCACCAUGUCUUUUAUUUUUUUCAGUAGGGCCUGACCUGACCUCGUCACUACUCUACCGAGGUUAGGCUUGGCACUUAAUGGGUACCGCUGUGGUGUACUCAUUCUACGCUUCUGCACAUCUUUUUGUGCAGAUCCAGGUACUUACUAUCAAACCAGAUAUCAGUAAGCUAGCCGUACACGAAGACUUCAAGGUAUAUCUGCCAGCGUCUGCAGACCUCGGAGUCCCCCUCUAUCCUUAUUAUGUUGUUCUCCUUAUUCUCUUUAGACUCGGUUGCAUAAAGACACUUAGUAUUUCUCUUAGAAACUUGUGACUUAUUUCUACCGGGUUUUGGGAGUUGUAACUAUUUUGAAUUGCAGUUUUUAUUUAUUUCAUAUGUUGAGAUUUGAGUUUCAG
rnacentral:lncRNA from 1 species